GACGAACGCUGGCGGCGUGCCUAAUACAUGCAAGUCGACCUUAGUGGCGAACGGGUGAGUAACACGUGGGUAACCUGCCCAUCAGAAGGGGGUAACACUUGGAAACAGGUGCUAAUACCGUAUACUGAUGGAUGGACACGCGGUGCAUUGUCUAGUUGGUGAGGUAACGGCUCACCAAGGCCACGAGGCAUAACCGCCCUGAAAGGGUGAUCGGCCACUGUGGGAUUGAGACAGGGCCCAAACUCCGACGGGGGGCAGCAGUAGGGAAUCUUCGGCAAUGGACGAAAUUCUGACCGAGCAACGCCGCGUGAGUGAAGAAGGUUUUCGGAUCGUAAAACUCUGUAGUUAGAGAAGCGGUAUCUAACCAGAAAGCCACGGCUAACUACGUGCCAGCAGCCGCGGUAAUAC
rnacentral:rRNA from 1 species